ACUCAAAUGAAUUGACGGGGCUCCGCACAAGCGGUGGAACAUGUGGUUUAAUUCGAUGCUACGCGAAGAACCUUACCAAGGCUUGACAUCCCGGUCGCACCCCUAGGAAACUAGGGGGUCAGUUCGGCUGGACCGGUGACAGGUGCUGCAUGGCCGUCGUCAGCUCGUGUCGUGAGAUGUUGGGUUAAGUCCCGCAACGAGCGCAACCCUUGUUGUUUGUUGUAUUUUUCAAGCAAGACUGCCCGGGCCAACCGGGAGGAAGGUGGGGAUGACGUCAGGUCAGCAUGGCCCUUACGCCUUGGGCUACACACGUGUUACAAUGGCCGGCACAAUGGGCGUGCUAAGUCGCGAGACGGAGCUAAUCCCAUCAAAACCGGUCUCAGUUCGGAUUGCAGGCUGCAACUCGCCUGCAUGAAGUCGGAAUCGCUAGUAACCGUGGGUCAGCACACCACGGUGAAUACGUUCCCGGAGCUUGUACACACCGCCCGU
rnacentral:rRNA from 1 species